rnacentral:lncRNA from 1 species
ACAACAAGAGGAUGAGAACAUAGCUCUUAGAUUGGGGGAGCAAAUUUUAGAAUUCUCUAGAAUUCUCUAGUAUUUUAACACUGUAACCUAAUACAAAAGCACCAUCCACCCAAAUGUGAAGUGUCAUCACGAUGGCAUCCAUUCCCCUAAGUUUCUUUCAGCAAUGUGACCUGAGAACCAACCCUCAAUGAAUACUACUGAAAUGUACACUUAAAAAUGGUUAAAAUCGGCCACCUGCGGUGGCUCACUGCCUCUUUUGCCACCAUUCUGAGUCCACUCAUUCUAGAGAAAUUAAAAGCAAAAAGACGAGUUGUAUUUCUUCAUGGAAACAAUUCCCUCUCCACGGGCGGCUGCUAACACGGAGCUGUAGCGGUAUGAAAGGGCUCCUUCCUAAGCCUGUCAGGGGUCGGCAGACGGCUGUUAUGCUGUUGGUGCCACCGACAGCCCCAGUACUCUGGGAGGACAGAAUCCCUUUCAGCUGUGGAAUGCCUUUCAUCCUCCGUGUUGAAAAGCUCUGUAGAAAUCAGGCCAGGGCUUGUGAAGCGCAAUUCAAGCCCAGGCCCAAACAGCCCAAAGAGCCUGCUGUGGCAGAAGUCUGCAUGGAAACCUACCCUCCCCGUCCCUGCUAAAGCCUCCUUGUACUUUCUUCCACUUGCAUUUCCAUAUCCCUGACCCAUCUACAGGGCUCGGAAAAAGCCUUUUCACACGUGAUAUGUUCAGAUAAGUUAAA